AGGAUUUUUAAAACUCCCCCAAAACUAAAUCAAUUCCCCAAACAAUUUGGCAAUGCAAAGAGCUCUUUCUUCCUGCGAAAUCCAUUUUCCCACCUCGCUAACACCCUUUUCUGCUCCCACUCUCCUGAUAUAGUAACUGCUUCAUUCUUCAUUGUUCACCUUUCUUUAUUGAUUGAUGCUGCUAUUCGCGGUUGUGCCAUUGCAACUGCCGUUCGUAUCUUGUUGCUAUUAGCGUUCCGAUUGCUGCUGCUGUUGGCAUUCCGGUUCCUGCUCGUAUUGGUGUUUGCGUUUGUGUUGCUACUGAUGUUCGUGUUCCAUUGCUGCUGAUGUACACGUUCUUAGUUGCAGCUGUUCUUCCAUAAAAAAAGGUUUCAUUGACAAAUGUACAAGGGCAUCAUCCCUACAUUGGACAAGAAAAAACAACUCCUGAAAUUGAUCACACAUAUUGAUUGAUUGCUGCUGCUAAUCACGGUUGUGCCCCUGCUACUCGCGUUCGUGUUGCUGCUGCUGUUCGUGUUCGCGUUCGGGUUUGGAUUUGUGUUGCUGCUGCUGUUCGCGUUCCAUUGCUGCUGCUAUUGGCGUUCAUAGUUGUAGCUGUGCUUCUAUGCAAAGUAUCUGAGUAGUUGAUUUGGCAUACUUGUUGCUCCUAUAUCACUGAUACAUUCGGAUCUAAACCACACUAUUCAGUUGAUUCCUUUUAUAAGGUAAAUUCUGGCUGAAAUUGAGGGAUUUGAGCAAAACUCUGAAGAAGGCUGACAAAAGAACUGCUGAUGCUGUUGGAAUCUGACCUCCCUGCACUCGAAAUGGAUUUUCUGGAGCUAUAGAACUCUGAUUGGCGCGCUCUCAACGGCGUUGGAAAGUAGACAUCCAGGGCUUUCCAGCAAUAUAUAAUAGUCCAUACUUUAUUCGAAGAUUGACGACGUAACUUGGCGUUGAACGCCAAGUUCAUGCUGCUGUCUGGAGUUAAACGCCAGAAAAACGUCAUUAUCCGGAGUUGA